rnacentral:rRNA from 1 species
GUGUCGUGAGAUGUUGGGUUAAGUCCCGCAACGAGCGCAACCCUUAUUGCUAGUUACCAUCAUUGAGUUGGGGACGUCUAGCGAGACUGCCAGCGAUAAGCUGGAGGAAGGUGGGGAUGACGUCAAAUCAUCAUGCCCCUUAUGACCUGGGCUACAAACGUGAUACAAUGGCUGGAACAAAGGGAGGCGAAGGGGUGACCUGGAGCGAAACCCAAAAAUACAGUCUCAGUUCGGAUUGAAGUCUGCAACUCGACUUCAUGAAGUCGGAAUCGCUAGUAAUCGCGGAUCAGAACGCCGCGGUGAAUACGUUCUCGGGGUUU